AGAAGGGCGGCGGUGGGCGGGCGGCCGGGGCGGAGGGGCCGCCGAGCGCCGGCGGGACGAAGGAAGGGGGAUCUGCCGCAGCCAUGGCGGCGGCCCCGCUCACCCCUGGCCGUGCGCAGCAGCGGCACCGUUCCCUGUGUUACAUCAGCUGCCCUUCUCCGGACCUUCCCUAACUCCCCUACCCCCAUCUGGUGGUGCGGUGACGAGACCUCCACGCCGCACUUGAGACCUGCCCGGCAUGUGGAGGCCGUCUCUCCAGAGGACAGACAUCAACAUCUUGGGAUCCAUCCUGCAGCACAACCACCAGGUUCCAGUUCAGCACUCUGCAGGCCGCAUUCAGGAGCCACAGCAACAACCCUAUAGACUGACACCGUAAGAAGCCUGUAAACUGGAGUACUUCUGCACCUCAGCACCGUAGGAAAACACUCUCCCCAACAUUUUGCCUGACUCCACAAAGGACAGGCAAUCUGAAAACUUGUCUUAAAAUUGACUUAGUUUGGGGAUAAGAGGGAAGCAAAACAAAAGAACUCUGUUCAACCCCAGUUCAGAUAGAAGGGGUGGGAGUUUUAUGAUGACAGUGAGUUAGGAGAUGGGGACACCAUAGGGAGUUUAGGAGGAGGGCUCCGGAGAUGCUGCAGUUGCUCAGCAGUGAGGCUGCUGCACACACCUUUUGGUGUGCGAGGGUUGCGUCACUCAUGUUCGUGGGCCAGAACCCAGGCCGCCCUGCUGCCAUGCACAGGAUGAGCUUAAAAGCUUUAGCAACCCUGUGUCUUAAUUUUAGGAUCGUGGGCAGUGCCAUUUUGCUUGGUAGAGCUUUUAACUGACAUGACAAGGAAAUUAAUAACUCAACUGAAUAAUCAUGAGUCACAAGAAGGGAUUAAAUAAGCGUUUCUUAUGCAGAGUGUUGCUGCUGGUCAUCCAGCAACCUGAGAUGAAGCUGUCUUUGGAAUUUGUGAUGUGCUGGAAUUACUUGUCCA